AUAGUGCGGCUGGUUCAGCAUCAACUGCAGAUUCUCAAACACGCACAUUAUUUCUAUCUCAACCCACGACGCCUUGCACCACUACUGCCGCACCACCGAUUGCGAUUCUGAAGGCUUCCAAUUCAGGACUUACAAGUUUCUUCUUCUUCGCGUCAAAAGCAUAGAGAAGUCAUUUGAGAUUGAUCAACUGAAACAUGCACUUGAAGUGGCAGACUAUGAGAAGUGGAAUUGUGAAGAUCUAGUGAAGUCCAAACUUGACGUCUUAUCUCCGGAGCAUAUUCUGUCUUUUGACAAAAUAGAAAAGCUUCAGACGGAGUUAAAUACAUGUAGAAUCAAAGAACAAGAGCAAGCCUCAACUUUGUCAAUUGACAUGCAGUUAGAACAUAAUUCAAAGGAGAUGACAAAGCUAAGAAUGAGAAUCCAAUCGACAGAAGCUAGAAGAGUUUCCUUCAAGAAGUGGUACGAGAAGGCUUUAGAUGAGCAGAAGUUAAUGCAUAAGAAAGUUGAGGCACUUGGCCUUUUUUGUACUAGUUAGCCUUGUUUUUACUAGCGUAUGUUAAUGGGUCUCAAUAGUCUACAAAGAUAGGCUUGAAAAACAAAUGAGAGUGAACCAUCCCUCUCAUUUGUUGGAACAAACUCGUGGGAUAAUCCUGCUAGAACCAAAAUAUUUGAAUGUUUCAUUGUUUAUAACCAAUCAACAGCUAAUUAAAUAUUGUUAAACACAA